rnacentral:lncRNA from 1 species
CCAAUAGAAUACAAAAAUAAAACAUAUAAUGAUGAAAGGAAGUAAUUAACCUUUUCAUGGUGCAAGUUUAUUGAUUAGACUAACUAAUAGUGUAUAUGCAAUCACUUACGGUGCUCACUUGCUUUUAUUAAAAAUCAACGGCAGCAUCGAAGACAAAUUUGAUGCGAAACAGAUAAGCAAAGAGCAUCUCAAAUUUCUGAAUUCAAUAAAGACGUAAUUCUUAUA